UGGGGAAUAUUGGACAAUGGGCGCAAGCCUGAUCCAGCCAUGCCGCGUGUGUGAAGAAGGUCUUCGGAUUGUAAAGCACUUUAAGUUGGGAGGAAGGGCAGUAAGCGAAUACCUUGCUGUUUUGACGUUACCGACAGAAUAAGCACCGGCUAACUCUGUGCCAGCAGCCGCGGUAAUACAGAGGGUGCAAGCGUUAAUCGGAAUUACUGGGCGUAAAGCGCGCGUAGGUGGUUCGUUAAGUUGAAUGUGAAAGCCCCGGGCUCAACCUGGGAACUGCAUCCAAAACUGGCGAGCUAGAGUAGGGCAGAGGGUGGUGGAAUUUCCUGUGUAGCGGUGAAAUGCGUAGAUAUAGGAAGGAACACCAGUGGCGAAGGCGACCACCUGGGCUCAUACUGACACUGAGGUGCGAAAGCGUGGGGAGCAAACAGG
rnacentral:rRNA from 1 species